rnacentral:rRNA from 1 species
AUACAGUCGAGCGAGCUGAAUUCAAAGAUCCCUUCGGGGUGAUUUGUUGGACGCUAGCGGCGGAUGGGUGAGUAACACGUGGGCAAUCUGCCCUAAAGACUGGGAUACCACUUGGAAACAGGUGCUAAUACCGGAUAACAACAUGAAUCGCAUGAUUCAAGUUUGAAAGGCGGCGCAAGCUGUCACUUUAGGAUGAGCCCGCGGCGCAUUAGCUAGUUGGUGGGGUAAAGGCCUACCAAGGCAAUGAUGCGUAGCCGAGUUGAGAGACUGAUCGGCCACAUUGGGACUGAGACACGGCCCAAACUCCUACGGGAGGCAGCAGUAGGGAAUCUUCCACAAUGGACGCAAGUCUGAUGGAGCAACGCCGCGUGAGUGAAGAAGGUCUUCGGAUCGUAAAGCUCUGUUGUUGGUGAAGAAGGAUAGAGGCAGUAACUGGUCUUUAUUUGACGGUAAUCAACCAGAAAGUCACGGCUAACUACGUGCCAGCAGCCGCGGUAAUACGUAGGUGGCAAGCGUUGUCCGGAUUUAUUGGGCGUAAAGCGAGCGCAGGCGGAAUGAUAAGUCUGAUGUGAAAGCCCACGGCUCAACCGUGGAACUGCAUCGGAAACUGUCAUUCUUGAGUGCAGAAGAGGAGAGUGGAACUCCAUGUGUAGCGGUGGAAUGCGUAGAUAUAUGGAAGAACACCAGUGGCGAAGGCGGCUCUCUGGUCUGCAACUGACGCUGAGGCUCGAAAGCAUGGGUAGCGAACAGGAUUAGAUACCCUGGUAGUCCAUGCCGUAAACGAUGAGCGCUAGGUGUUGGGGACUUUCCGGUCCUCAGU